UAGAGAGGGUAUCUGCCUCCUGAACCCAAACUGGGAGCUGGUUCUACAGGAGAGGCACCUGAUAACUGAAGGCUCUGCCUCCCAUUCUACUUUUAGAAAUUCUAGGACCAACAAGUAAGCCUCCAGUCUGAGAGUGAAGAGAUCUGCUAAGAUAAUAUGGUACUAUCAGGUCUUUAAGAUAUGAUGAAGAUUGGUUGUUAAGAGCUUUAUAUGUCAGAAAAAGGAUUUUGAGUGGAGAUGUUUCUCACAGGUAGACUGGCUGGAUUUUGCAGAUGUUUGUGUUUCCUUUCUAUGCCUGUGUGUGGGGGUUAAACACAUUCUAGCAUGUUGAAGUUUAACAGCGCUCUCCUGUGGUUGGUCUCCUCCUAGUUUCACUUCAUGUGCUCUUGUACUCCUGCUCCUUUCACUGAUCCAACAUCCAGGUUUUUCAACCACCUUGUUCUUUCCAUGUUUAUAAACAGAGGGUAGAGAUAAAAAAAAAUCUGAGGUGGGCAAACCAGCUCCACUGCAGACACCACAUGUUCUUGAAGUUCAGGGAAAUGCCUCCAUUAACAGGCCAUUGAAACCUCUAAUAAAUUAAAUAAAAUCCGGGUAAGAAGAGAAUUAAAUCAUCAUUUCCGAACAAUUGCUGGAUGUAAAACCUCAAAACACAACUGAUCCAAAACUCCAGUUUCCUGAUGUGAUGAUGUGAUGACAUCAGCUGCAGCCUAUCCACCGCGGGGAGCAGAUGUGGCGUUCAGGGACCAGAGCAUGAGUCCCUGUCGUGUGCUGUCAACUUGACUUCUCAACUGCAACAAAAUUGGUUCUUGCCAUAACAUGGAUUCCAACAGUUGUCAAAUAGGGCUGUCAACUGUGUACCAACCUGACUUAUGCACAACACAACUGAUGGUCCCAAUCCCAUUAAGGGCAAGAAGUUCCACAAAGUUACCUUGACAAGGCACACCUGUAACCAUUUCGGGUGACUACCUCAUGAACCUCAUUAAGAGAAUGCCAAGAGUGUGCAAAGCAGUAAUUAGAGCAAAGGGUGGCUAUUUUGAAGAAAAUAAAAUAAAAUAAAAAAACAUGUUUUGAUUUAUUUCACACCGUUUUUUUACUACAUACUUCCAUGUGUUAAUUCAUAGUUUUGAUGCCUUCAGUGAGAAUGUACAAUGUAAAUAGUCAUGAAAAUAAAUAAAGACCAUUAAGUGAGAAGGUGUUCAAACUUUUGACUGGUAUUGUAUGUAUGUAAUGAAAUUUUCGGUUUUAGUUUAUAUAAUUUAAGUGUGAUUCUGUGACAAUUACAUGAAAUUAAAGUGACACAAAGAAAUCCUUGA